GACGAACGCUGGCGGCGUGCCUAAUACAUGCAAGUCGAACGGAAAGACCCUGCUCUUGCGGGGUUCUCGAUAGGCGAAGGGGGGAGUAACACGCGAGUAUCAUGUCCCUGACAGUGGGAGAACAUUAGGAGACUGGGGCGCAAACACCAUAUGAUCUCCUGCUGCGCGUUGGGGGUUGGUAAGUUUCGGCGGUUGGGGAUGGAUUCGCUGCUUAUCAGCUUGUUUGGGUAGUAGUUGCGUACGAGGGUUAUGACGGGUAGGCGGCCUGAGAGGGUGACCGGGCACAUGGGGACUGAGGUACGGCGCAGAAGCCUACGGGAGGCAGCAGGGGGGAGUAUUGCGCAGUGGGCGGAAGCCAGAUGCAGCGACGCUGCGUGCGUGAUGACGUCCUUCGGGUGGUAAACCGCUUUCGACUGUGAUGAGGAGGGAGUGACGGUAAUGGGUAAAAAAGCACCGGCUAACUACGUG
rnacentral:rRNA from 1 species